rnacentral:rRNA from 1 species
UACGGAGGGAGCUAGCGUUGUUCGGAAUUACUGGGCGUAAAGCGCGCGUAGGCGGCUUUGUAAGUUAGAGGUGAAAGCCCGGGGCUCAACCCCGGAACUGCCUUUAAAACUGCAUCGCUUGAAUCCGGGAGAGGUGAGUGGAAUUCCGAGUGUAGAGGUGAAAUUCGUAGAUAUUCGGAAGAACACCAGUGGCGGAAGGCGACUUACUGGACACAUACUGACGCUGAGGUGCGAAAGCGUGGGGAGCAAACAGG